rnacentral:rRNA from 1 species
UACGGAGGAUGCAAGCGUUAUCCGGAUUUAUUGGGUUUAAAGGGUGCGUAGGCGGAUAUGUAAGUCAGCGGUGAAACUCACAGGCUCAACCUGUGCCGUGCCGUUGAAACUGUGUAUCUGGAAUGCGGAUGCUGUGGGAGGAAUGUGUAGUGUAGCGGUGAAAUGCGUAGAGAUUAGGAGGAACACCGAUGGCGAAGGCAGGUCUCUGGGCCACUACUGACGCUGAGAAGCGAAAGCAUGGGGAGCGAACAGGA